AAAUUCUUUGCCUUUCUAGAAAAACAAAUAAUCCCCCCUCAACACAUCUUGUGAUCCCUUUCAUCACCCAAAAGAUCAGCCCCUUCCUGAAGAUAGCCUGAAUUUUAGACAACAUUAUAUCCUUCUCCAAAGCAUGGCCCCAGAAAAAUUCCCCAUUCCAAUUCGAGAUUUUUCCCUUCAACAUCCUUAGUUUCUGAAACAAAAUAAAACCCGUAUGACCCAUUUGAAACCUAACACCCUAUCAGACAACAAGAUAUUCAAAAAGAAAUCCCCACCCACGCAUCAUCUUUCAGCCACAAUGACGAAUUGCAAAUGAUAAGAGUGACCCCAGCAGCUCCAACUGCAUCUUGGCUACUCAAUCUUUAGAGUUUCCCCUCCACAAGUCGUCGAACCCUCUUUAGAGAUGUCACGAAGUGCUGCUUAGUAUAUGGAUACAAAACUCAUGAACAAAUUCUUUAUCAGGAAAUAGAGGCUGAAUUGCAUCUAAAAGAUUUAAAGAUAAAAGAGCUGGAAGAGAAUUUGGUAUGUCUUAAUGAUGAGUUUAAGCAAUUGAAAGAACAAACGGGCGAAAUGCUUUCACAGGAGGAGAUUCAGGUUAGUUCAUUUUAACCUCACUUUGUAAACUGAUUUUGCCUCAUGAACAAAUUCUUUAUCAGCAAAUAGCGGCUGAAUUGUUAAAGAUAAAAGAGCUGGAAGAGAAGUUGGUACGUCUUAAUGAUGAGUUUCAGCAAUUGAAAGAACAAACAGGCAAAAUGCUUUCACAGGAGGAGAUUCAGGUUAGUUCAUUUUAACCUCACUUUGUAAACUGAUUUUGCCAUCACUUAUUUUCAAUUUGCUCAUUUGUACUCUACUUUUUGUAAGGGCCCAUGGAGCACCCAAAUUUCCAGCCCUGAGGUCAUCGUCAAUCAUCGUACCCACUCAAGAAGUGUCCGCAUCUUGUUCCUGUACAACACCACGGCAUGAAGCGUAAAUGUGAUGUUGAAGCUAGUGGGAGUUUCCAGGGACGAUGAGCUUUCUUGCAGUGAUAUUGGUACGCCACUUAUUGUUUCUCAUCCAAGGCCGCUUUCUCGGAGUUUCAUCCAUUUGUGCAGGUUAAGCUGGACAUGGGCUAGAUUAUUUUUUUUUUGCUGUAGAUCUUGUGUUUAGGUUGAGGGGUUGUUUGAUGUAUUUUGUAGAGUUGCUAUUGUUGAGGCAUAUGAUUGGCGUGAACCGGUGUGGCCCGGUCCUUUUUGUGGUGCAGCCUGGAAAAAAAUCGUUACUGAUAAUUCGUUGA